rnacentral:rRNA from 1 species
AUUGAACGCUGGCGGCAUGCCUUACACAUGCAAGUCGAACGGCAGCGCGGGGCAACCUGGCGGCGAGUGGCGAACGGGUGAGUAAUAUAUCGGAACGUACCCUGGAGUGGGGGAUAACGUAGCGAAAGUUACGCUAAUACCGCAUACGAUCUAAGGAUGAAAGCAGGGGACCGCAAGGCCUUGUGCUCCUGGAGCGGCCGAUAUCUGAUUAGCUAGUUGGUAGGGUAAAAGCCUACCAAGGCAUCGAUCAGUAGCUGGUCUGAGAGGACGACCAGCCACACUGGAACUGAGACACGGUCCAGACUCCUACGGGAGGCAGCAGUGGGGAAUUUUGGACAAUGGGGGCAACCCUGAUCCAGCAAUGCCGCGUGAGUGAAGAAGGCCUUCGGGUUGUAAAGCUCUUUUGUCAGGGAAGAAACGGUGAAGGCUAAUAUCCUUUGCUAAUGACGGUACCUGAAGAAUAAGCACCGGCUAACUACGUGCCAGCAGCCGCGGUAAUACGUAGGGUGCAAGCGUUAAUCGGAAUUACUGGGCGUAAAGCGUGCGCAGGCGGUUUUGUAAGACUGUCGUGAAAUCCCCGGGCUCAACCUGGGAAUGGCGAUGGUGACUGCAAGGCUAGAGUUUGGCAGAGGGGGGUAGAAUUCCACGUGUAGCAGUGAAAUGCGUAGAUAUGUGGAGGAACACCGAUGGCGAAGGCAGCCCCCCUGGGUCAAAACUGACGCUCAUGCACGAAAGCGUGGGGAGCAAACAGGAUUAGAUACCCUGGUAGUCCACGCCCUAAACGAUGUCUACUAGUUGUCGGGUCUUAAUUGACUUGGUAACGCAGCUAACGCGUGAAGUAGACCGCCUGGGGAGUACGGUCGCAAGAUUAAAACUCAAAGGAAUUGACGGGGACCCGCACAAGCGGUGGAUGAUGUGGAUUAAUUCGAUGCAACGCGAAAAACCUUACCUACCCUUGACAUGGCAGAAACCUUGGAGAGAUCUGAGGGUGCUCGAAAGAGAAUCUGCACACAGGUGCUGCAUGGCUGUCGUCAGCUCGUGUCGUGAGAUGUUGGGUUAAGUCCCGCAACGAGCGCAACCCUUGUCAUUAGUUGCUACGAAAGAGCACUCUAAUGAGACUGCCGGUGACAAACCGGAGGAAGGUGGGGAUGACGUCAAGUCCUCAUGGCCCUUAUGGGUAGGGCUUCACACGUCAUACAAUGGUACAUACAGAGGGCCGCCAACCCGCGAGGGGGAGCUAAUCCCAGAAAGUGUAUCGUAGUCCGGAUUGUAGUCUGCAACUCGACUGCAUGAAGUUGGAAUCGCUAGUAAUCGCGGAUCAGCAUGUCGCGGUGAAUACGUUCCCGGGUCU